rnacentral:rRNA from 1 species
UACGUAGGGGUGCAAGCGUUUAAUCGGAAUUAGCUAGGGCGUAAACGUGCGCAGGCGGUUAUGUAAGACAGAAUGUGAAACUCCCCGGGCUCCAACCUGGGAAACUGCAUUUGUGACUGCAUAGCUAGAGUACGGUAGGGGAGGGUAGAGUCGACUCGUGUGAGCAGUGAAAUGCGUAGAUAUGCGGAGGAACACCGAUGGCGAAGGCAAUCCCCUGGACCUGUACUGACGCUCAUGCACGAAAGCGUGGGGAGCAAACAGG